AGCACGCGAGUGGGUGUUUGUCAGAUAACCGGACCAAGACUUUAAGACAGGUGCAAACACCAGAUUCUCUUUUGCAGCCCAGAACUCACUGUUUAUCUGAGUUCUGAUACAGAUAAGAAGGGGCAUG